GCCUGGCGUCACACCCGGAAGCAGCCCUGCAGCGGAGCGGGCAGCAAUGAGUGGGGAGCCGGGACAGGUGUCCGUAGUGCCCCCUCCCGGGGAGGUGGAAGCAGGCAGUGGAGUUCACAUCGUGGUGGAGUACUGUGAACCCUGUGGUUUCGAGGCGACCUACCUGGAGCUGGCGAGCGCCGUGAAGGAGGAGUAUCCCGGCAUCGAGAUUGAGUCGCGACACGGGGGGACAGGGGCCUUUGAGAUUGAGAUCAAUGGACAGCUGGUGUUCUCCAAGCUGGAGAAUGGAGGUUUUCCUUACGAGAAAGAUCUCAUCGAGGCCAUCCGAAGAGCCAGCAAUGGAGAACCUUUAGAGAAAAUCACCAAUAGCCGUCCUCCCUGUGUCAUCCUGUGAUAACACACGGUUCUUGGAAGCUUGGUUCUGGGGGUCAAACCUUUGUUUCCUUGUGGUUCCUCUAGGAACCCCCUCUGCCUUUUGCCCCUUAUUUAGCUCCAUGUAGCUAAUACCCUGACCUCUACUUUGCCCCUUUGGGCACAAGGAGGACUUGACAUAUCUAUGGUCUUGGAGUGAGAAAAGACGUUCUCUGUGGAUAUUUCCACUGCCACCUCACACACCUUUCCCUCUGCAGCUCCGUCCUCUCCCCAACUUGGCAAUUCCUGUCAGAUGCCACAGGUGCCAUAACUUAUUUUCCCCAACUCCUGGGCAAUGUCAGCUACUGGCAAUAAAGAGCUAUCGGCGCCACAAAUA